rnacentral:sRNA from 2 species
AACACCUUUAAACCCAGUCCAGAGAGGCUGUGAAAGGAUUGUGACCGCGGUCACAUGUACGUCCAUUCAACCCCGGCAUUCGUAUGCCGUUUUUGAUGAAGACUCCCUUUCCAGCCGGAUGAGGGAGUCUUCUUUUU